UGGGGAAUAUUGCACAAUGGGCGCAAGCCUGAUGCAGCCAUGCCGCGUGUAUGAAGAAGGCCUUCGGGUUGUAAAGUACUUUCAGCGGGGAGGAAGGCGAUAAGGUUAAUAACCUUGUCGAUUGACGUUACCCGCAGAAGAAGCACCGGCUAACUCCGUGCCAGCAGCCGCGGUAAUACGGGGGGUGCAAGCGUUAAUCGGAAUUACUGGGCGUAAAGCGCACGCAGGCGGUCUGUCAAGUCGGAUGUGAAAGCCCCGGGCUCAACCUGGGAACUGCAUUCGAAACUGGCAGGCUAGAGUCUUGUAGAGGGGGGUAGAAUUCCAGGUGUAGCGGUGAAAUGCGUAGAGAUCUGGAGGAAUACCGGUGGCGAAGGCGGCCCCCUGGACAAAGACUGACGCUCAGGUGCGAAAGCGUGGGGAGCAAACA
rnacentral:rRNA from 1 species